GUCACAUUGUAGAUGAGCAAGGUAUUAGACCAGACAGCAAGAAAAUAGAUGCCAUACUAACCAUCAAGCCACCGCAAAACACCACGGAGCUCAAACAUGUGCUAGGUAUGGCGCAUACCUAGCACAUGGACGUUACUUACCUAACUUAGCAGAUGUAACUUGUCAUGAUCUGUGUUUUUGUUUCUAGUUGUAUCAUGUUUCACGCCAUGUCCUGUGUAACACUACUUCCUGUUUUAUUUUGGUAGUCUCCUGGUUUCUGUUCCUGCUUUAGCUUUACUUCCGGUUUUUGUCUUGUCACAGCUGUCCCUGCUCCACCUGAUCGUUAUCCUCACCUGCACUGUAUCAGUUAAUUACUCAUCUGUGUAUUUAGUCACCUCCUGUUCCCGUAGUCACUUGCCAGAUUGUUGAGUUGAGAAUGUGUUGAGCGUCCCUAGUUUCCUGAGUUCCCUGAGUGUUCGUGUUCUCGUGUCUUAUUCCUGUUCGCACCGUGUAUCCUGCCCGACACUGGAUUAUCUACUGACCGUGAGUUUUUGCCUGUUCCCUGCCUGUACUUUUGCCGAGCCUUUUUGUGUUUGACCUGGACCGUAUGACCCUGCCUUGAGCAAUAAACCUUUUGUUGAUUAUAACCUUCGCCUCCGUGCUGUGCAUGUGGGUCCGCCGCCAGCCCGAGUCCCUGACAGAACAAUCUGGCCAAACUUGGACCCAGCCAGCACUUAGCCUCCGGUCAGGUCAGUGACUGUUUUUUUCCUUGUUUUUACGGCGAAUAUACUCUCCCGCGGAAGUAUGAAGUUUGACGAAUUAAGCGACGCGCGCUGCACCACGCCGGCGCCGGUCGCACCGCCGAUGGUUUCGGUUUCCUCCUCUCCGCCUCGUCGGAUCGUCGUGCCUGCACCAACCUGCCCAGCUCCAUGGUUGUUCCCCUGGGAGGAUUUCCUGCUCUCACGCGGUCCUCAGUCUCCAGUCCAACCGCGCGCUGCUCAGUCUCCAGUUCAGCCGCGCGCUGCUCAGUCUCCAGUUCAGCCGCGCGCUGCUCAGUCUCCAGGUCAGCCGCGCGCUGCUCAGUCUCCAGGUCAGCCGCGCGCUGCUCAGCCUCCAGUUCAGCCGCGCGCUGCUCAGUCUCCAGUUCAGCCGCGCGUUGCCCAGACCCCAGUUCAGUCGUGUUUUCCCCAGUCUCCAGCCCAAGCUCCAGACGCCGCGGUCCCGUUUCACCAUGCGGGUCCCGGUACAGAGGUCCGGUCCACACCGCGCCCAGCGCCUCAAACGACGGACAGUCGCAGCUGCUCCGGACGGCGACGGCGGCGGCGCGGUUCCAGGAUUCCGGGUCCCGCGGUCUCGGUCAUGGGGACCGAGCCGUCUCCUUCUCCGACAGAGGAGCCCCUUGAUUCUCUGACUGACUGUGUCCCUCUGAUAUCAGGCAUCCCAGACAGCGUCGCCCGACGGGUCCACCUCCUCUGCUCUCCUCCAGUUGCGUUUCUCUUCGCCCACCUCAUGAACACCGCCGAUUCGGCAGCAGACCAGGGCGCGAGAGAACAACUGUUCACGGAAGCAGCCGCUCUCGUCCUGAGGGAGCCUGUCCUGCGUGAGGCCCUGCAACUCCCGGGCCUGCAGCCAGCGGCCGCUUCAUGUCCCACCUCUCAGUCAGUUCAGCCUCGCCAUGCUCAUGCCCUGGUGCAGCCCUGUCGCCUCCAGGUCCCAGCCCAGUCGAACCUAGUCCAGACCCCAGAUCAGCCGUGUGUUGCCCAGACCCCAGAUCAGCCGUGUGUCGCCCAGACCCCAGAUCAGCCGUGUGUCGCCCAGACCCCAGAUCAGCCGUGUGUCGCCCAGACCCCAGAUCAGUCGUGUGUCGCCCAGACCCCAGAUCAGUCGUGUGUCGCCCAGACCCCAGAUCAGUCCUGUGUUGCCCAGACCCCAGAUCAGUCGUGUGUUGCCCAGACCCCAGUUCAGUCGUGUGUUGCCCAGACCCCAGUUCCGUCCUUGUCCCCGUCAGAGGGCACCGUCCGUCUGACGGCUGUUAGCCCCACCCAAUCAGGCCCGACGUCUCCCCCGUCGAGCUCGGCAGCUGUAAGCUGUCAUGCCAGCUCCGGAGGGGACGCCGUUCCAGUCCCUGUCGGCCAUGUUGCGGCCGUUCCAGUCCCGGUCGGCCAUGUUGCGGCCGUUCCAGUUCCUGUCGGCCAUGUUGAGGUCGUUCCAGUUCUUGUCGGCCAUGUUGAGGUCGUUCCAGUUCCUGUCGGCCAUGUUGAGGUCGUUCCAGUUCCUGUCGGCCAUGUUGAGGUCGUUCCAGUUCCUGUCGGCCAUGUUGAGGUCGUUCCAGUUCCUGUCGGCCAUGUUGAGGUCGUUCCAGUUCCUGUCGGCCAUGUUGAGGUCGUUCCAGUUCCUGUUCCUGUCGGCCAUGUUGAGGUCAUUCCAGUUCCUGUCCCUGUCGACCAAAUUGAGGUCGUUCCAGUUCCUGUCCCUGUCGACCAAGUUAAGGUCGUUCCAGUUCCUGUCCCUGUCGGCCAAGUUGAGGUCGUUCCCGUUCCUGUCCCUGUCGGCCCAGUUGAGGUCGUUCCAGUUCCUGUCCCUGUCGGCCAAGUUGAGGGCGUUCCCGUCGGCCAAGUUGAGGGCGUUCCCGUAGGCCAAGUUGAGGGCGUUCCCGUAGGCCAAGUUGAGGGCGUUCCCGUAGGCCAAGUUGAGGGCGUUCCCGUAGGCCAAGUUGAGGGCGUUCCCGUAGGCCAAGUAGAGGUCACCCCUGUCUCUGAUCCCGUUCCCGUCGGCCCUGUAGCGGUCGUUCCAGUCCCCGUUCCUGUCGGCCCUGUAGCGGUCGUUCCAGCCCCCGUUCCUGUCGGCCCUGUAGCGGUCGUUCCAGCCCCCGUUCCUGUCGGCCCUGUAGCGGUCGUUCCAGCCCCCGUUCCUGUCGGCCCUGUAGCGGUCGUUCCAGCCCCCGUUCCUGUCGGCCCUGUAGCGGUCGUUCCAGUCCCCGUUCCUGUCGGCCCUGUAGCGGUCGUUCCAGUCCCCGUCAUCCUUGGAGCCGCAGCUCCUGCGCACCUCCAGGAGGAGGUCGCGCCAGCCGCAGUUCCUGCGCACCUCCAGGAGGAGGUCGCGCCAGCCGCAGCAGUUCCUGCGCACCUCCAGGAGGAGGUCGCGCCAGCCGCAGUUCCUGCGCACCUCCAGGAGGAGGUCGCGCCAGCCGCAGUUCCUGCGCACCUCCAGGAGGAGGUCGCGCCAGCCGCAGUUCCUGCGCACCUCCAGGAGGAGGUCGCGCCAGCCGCAGUUCCUGCGCACCUCCAGGAGGAGGUCGCGCCAGCCGCAGUUCCUGCGCACCUCCAGGAGGAGGUCGCGCCAGCCGCAGUUCCUGCGCACCUCCAGGAGGAGGCCGCGCCAGUUGCAGUUCCUGCGCACCUCCAGGAGGAGGUCGCGCCAGCCGCAGUUCCUGCGCACCUCCAGGAGGAGGUCGCGCCAGCCGCAGUUCCUGCGCACCUCCAGGAGGAGGUCGCGCCAGCCGCAGUUCCUGCGCACCUCCAGGAGGAGGUCGCGCCAGCCGCAGUUCCUGCGCACCUCCAGGAGGAGGUCGCGCCAGCCGCAGUUCCUGCGCACCUCCAGGAGGAGGUCGCGCCAGCCGCAGUUCCUGCGCACCUCCAGGAGGAGGUCGCGCCAGCCGCAGUUCCUGCGCACCUCCAGGAGGAGGUCGCGCCAGCCGCAGUUCCUGCGCACCUCCAGGAGGAGGUCGCGCCAGCCGCAGUUUCUGCGCACCUCCAGGAGGAGGUCGCGCCAGCCGCAGUUUCUGCGCACCUCCAGGAGGAGGUCGCGCCAGCCGCAGUUUCUGCGCACCUCCAGGAGGGGGUCGCGCCCGUCGCAUCCCCGGCGGACCUCCAGGAGGAGGUCGCGCCCGUCGCAGUCCCGGCGGACCUCCAGGAGGGGGUCGCGCCCGUCGCAGUCCCUGCCGACCUCCAGGAGGGGGUCGCUCCCGUCGCAGUUCCUGCCGACCUCCAGGAGGGGGUCGCUCCCGUCGCAGUUCCUGCCGACCUCCAGGAGGGGGUCGCUCCCGUCGUAGUUCCUGCCGACCUCCAGGAGGGGGUCGCUCCCGUCGUAGUUCCUGUCGACCUCCAGGAGGGGGUCGCUCCCGUCGUGGUUCCUGCCGACCUCCAGGAGGGGGUCGCUCCCGUCGUAGUUCCUGCCGACCUCCAGGAGGGGGUCGCUCCCGUCGUAGUUCCUGUCGACCUCCAGGAGGGGGUCGCUCCCGUCCCGGCUCAGGCCGCACCUGCAUCGGUUCCUGGCGGCCCGGCUCAGGCCGCACCUGCAUCGGUUCCUGGCGGCCCGGCUCCGGCCGCACCUGCAUCGGUUCCUGGCGGCCCGGCUCCGGCCGCACCUGCAUCGGUUCCUGGCGGUCCGGCUCCGGCCGCACCUGCAUCGGUUCCUGGCGGUCCGGCUCCGGCCGCACCUGCAUCGGGUCCUGUCUCUCGUCGCGGUGGUCCAAGGAGGACGCCGCUGGUUCCUGUCUCUCGUCGCGGUGGUCCAAGGAGGACGCCGCUGGUUCCUGUCUCUCGUCGCGGUGGUCCAAGGAGGACGCCGCUGGUUCCUGUCUCUCGUCGCGGUGGUCCAAGGAGGACGCCGCUGGUUCCUGUCUCUCGUCGCGGUGGUCCAAGGAGGACGCCGCUGGUUCCUGGCUCUCGUCGCGGUGGUCCAAGGAGGACGCCGCUGGUUCCUGGCUCUCGUCGCGGUGGUCCAAGGAGGACGCCGCUGGUUCCUGCCUCGUCCUUGUCUCGGCCGCCGGACUGGUGGCCUCGCCCUCGGCGCCUCCUGCUGCCCGGAUGGCGCUGCCUCCUGCGGCGACGUCCGCCUCGACUCCUCAGCCCAUCGGAUCAGCGUCCGCCUGGAGGACGUUGCCAUUCGGGGUGGCCCCCGGGGACAUCGGUCCAGCCCAAGGGCACUAAGAGUGCCACCCUGGCUCAGCGGCUGCUGGGCAGGGUCUCGCCACGCCAUCACCCUCCGUGAGGGAAUCCCUGAACUUCAUGUUUUUCCUGGUCAUGGACCUUUGUAGUGUAUGUGGACUCUUGUUUUGGCCCUCCCCCGGUCCUCCCUCCACCCACCCUGCUCAUGUACCUUGAGGGGUAGGGAUUCGGUCCCUCCGCCUGGGACCACCCUCCGCCCGCCCUGGUUUGGGGGGGGGGGCUUCCGUGGGCGCCGUGGAAGGCGCCAUAGGGGGGGGGGUACUGUCAUGAUCUGUGUUUUUGUUUCUAGUUGUAUCAUGUUUCACGCCAUGUCCUGUGUAACACUACUUCCUGUUUUAUUUUGGUAGUCUCCUGGUUUCUGUUCCUGCUUUAGCUUUACUUCCGGUUUUUGUCUUGUCACAGCUGUCCCUGCUCCACCUGAUCGUUAUCCUCACCUGCACUGUAUCAGUUAAUUACUCAUCUGUGUAUUUAGUCACCUCCUGUUCCCGUAGUCACUUGCCAGAUUGUUGAGUUGAGAAUGUGUUGAGCGUCCCUAGUUUCCUGAGUUCCCUGAGUGUUCGUGUUCUCGUGUCUUAUUCCUGUUCGCACCGUGUAUCCUGCCCGACACUGGAUUAUCUACUGACCGUGAGUUUUUGCCUGUUCCCUGCCUGUACUUUUGCCGAGCCUUUUUGUGUUUGACCUGGACCGUAUGACCCUGCCUUGAGCAAUAAACCUUUUGUUGAUUAUAACCUUCGCCUCCGU
ensembl:lncRNA